rnacentral:rRNA from 1 species
AUUGAACGCUAGCGGGAUGCUUUACACAUGCAAGUCGAACGAGUGGCGGACGGGUGAGUCAUAUAUCGGAAAGUGCCCCGUAGAGGGGGAUAACUACUGGAAAGGGUGGCUAAUACCGCAUACUAUUGGAUCUGCCCAUAUGGGAUUAGCUAGUUGGUGGGGUAAAGGCUCACCAAGGCGACGAUCCGUAGCUGGUUUGAGAGGAUGACCAGCCACACUGGGACUGAGACACGGCCCAGACUCCUACGGGAGGCAGCAGUGGGGAAUAUUGGACAAUGGGGGAAACCCUGAUCCAGCCAUCCCGCGUGUAUGAGAAGGCCUUCGGGUUGUAAAGUACUUUUGGCAGAGAGGCGUUAUCUGCAGAAUAAGCACCGGCUAACUCCGUGCCAGCAGCCGCGGUAAUUC